rnacentral:lncRNA from 1 species
AUUAGCUUUACACUAGCCCUAGUGACCGACACCUUACUAGCAAUUACAUUUUGACUCCCAUAACUUAAUAUUUAUAUAGAAAAAUCCAGCCCUUAUGAAUGCGGAUUUGACUCAUUAACCUCUGGCCACCUUCCUUUCUCUAGAAAAUUCUUCCUAGUGGUCACCACAUUUCUCCUGUUCAACUUAGAAAUUGCUCUACUACUGCCCCUGCCAUGAGCCCUUCAAACAAACAACCUGACACUAAUAAUCAGCACAGCCCUUAUACUAAUUAUCAUUUUAAUCCUAGGCUUGACUUAUGAAUGAACCCAAAAAGGAUUAGACUGAAUUG